UCAUACGCCCAAGAUGGAGUCCAACCUAGACUGUUCGGAAAAUGUUCCUGACGCUUCCACAUGUAUAUCUUUUCAUAACAACAUUUAUGUAGGUAAGAAAAAACACAUAAUGGAAUAUCGUAAUCAUGAAAUAUCCUCACUAGUUCAAUACCAAUUAUCCUACAGAUUCUUGUAGGGCGAGUCCUACAAGAAUCUGUAAGCAAGAAACGUUUCACAGUAUUUAAACAAAAGAACAAAGCUAUAGCUAUCAAUACAAAUACGUCGAAGAUCACAAGACGGCAUUACCCGCAAGUGUGACGUAAUGAGUGCUCGGCGACAACAUACCUUUGUCCUGUAGAGCAGGCGGCUCUCAGCAACGCGGUCAUACUGCGGAGACGGUCUUCACCUUCUGAAGCCUGCGACUGUGGUAAAUCGAGGUCGUCUCGAGGAAGUGCCGCGCUUCAAUACAAUAUUGGUCAUGAUUUGACUUUUUCAUGGAACAGUGAAGAGUUUAAAGUAUCUACGAACGCAGAUAAACAACAAGCCAUUCAAAAUCAAUGUUAAUACGGUGGACAUCAAAUGUUGGCAAUCAAUGAAGGAUUUCCUCUUACAUUUCCCUAGUCCCUACACUUCAAUUCUACAAGACACCUAUGUGUUUUACAUUUCUUUGUAGUAACAUUAGUGCAUGAAGUUUUCUAAAAAAAUAUCAAGUCAUGUAAUAUUACAAAACAAAGAACUAAUAACUAACGUAAUUAAAGAUGCCAAACUGAAUGCUACAACAAGUCCAGUCGGAGCUUGUUGAAGUAAUCUCGUGUAACAAUAUCUGCGCCCUUACGUCAGCGGUCACAAAGCAGUAUUGUUAUCUGAUUGGAGAGGAUCGCUCUCGCCUCUCCUCUGAAGUUUUCUCAUUUAUUUCCAUAUUAUUUUGUUUGGAGGUCGCGUCCCUUUGAGUCUCUCCGCGCUCGGCUAACGAAGCCGCCGCCGCCACAUCAAACGACAACUCUCGCUAUUUUCAUUGAAAUGAGGACUUUUCUUUGAAAAUUGGACGCCGUUAUUAUGUCGUUGGAUAAUUUAUGUGCUUUUUAUGUACACUUCGAGAAAUAAAGUAAAUAACUAGACAGCAGCAUGUUGCUUGCACCGCUGCUCAGGAACACUUGGAUGUGCACAUGUGCGUUGAUGUCUUUUGUUCUGUCUGAAACAAUGGCAGUCGACUAAUGAACUGCUACACACAUUCAACAAGAGGUUACCAGCAAACAUGACUUGUUCUUUAUUAUUGAUCUAUGGCAGCCCCCGCCCAGUGCCAGCAAGUCGUCAUCACGAUAAUGAGCACAGCAAUCACCGCCUCACACACACACACACACACGUCAUCUUGUUAUGUGACAGCGCGUUAUGUGCUGAUUACUGCGGAGAAGCCUGCCGUAAUGACGCCGUAAUGCCGAGACCAACAAAUGUACUGGAACUAUCACAUAAGGCUGUUUGUUAGUCUGCCUUACAUGAGACUCAUGUGUUAUGUGAACUUUAAUUACAGCUUGCGUGGUAUAAUGAAGUGGUGCUCGAAAUGCGGCGAUAUAAUAAAAGUUGCUGGAAAGACGAGUAUGGAAGCCACACAUGUAUUAUGAAAGAGGACACUACGCACGUUUGUAAGUAUGUUGCUCGUCAU